rfam:Ipomoea nil DNA, scaffold: scaffold0482, cultivar: Tokyo-kokei standard.
AAUGGUUGGAGUGAGCUUUCUUCAGUCCACUCAUGGGUCGGGGAAGGGUUUGAAUUAGCUGCCGACUCAUUCAUUCAAACACAGUAGAUUGAAGUUAGUUUUUCGUCCUGCGUUUUUGGUACUACUGUGAAUGUGUGAAUGAUGCGGGAGAUAAGUUUCACCCUUCCCUCGUCUGUGCUUGGACUGAAGGGAGCUCCCUCUUGCCUUAAU